CUGAACUUAAGCAUAUCAAUAAGCGGAGGAAAAGAAACCAACAGGGAUUGCCUCAGUAACGGCGAGUGAAGCGGCAAGAGCUCAAAUUUGAAAUCCGCCCCUGGGGGCCUGAGUUGUAAUUUGCAGAGGAUGCUUCGGGCGCGACCGCGGUCCAAGUCCCCUGGAACGGGGUGUCGUAGAGGGUGAGAAUCCCGUCUCGGCCGGCCGGUCUCGCCCGUGUGAAGCUCCUUCGACGAGUCGAGUUGUUUGGGAAUGCAGCUCCAAAUGGGUGGUAAAUUUCAUCUAAAGCUAAAUACUGGUCGGAGACCGAUAGCGCACAAGUAGAGUGAUCGAAAGAUGAAAAGCACUUUGAAAAGAGAGUUAAACAGCAUCGUGAAAUUGUUGAAAGGGAAGCGCUUGCGACCAGAGUCGGCCGUGGGGGUUCAGCGGGCAUUCGUUGCCCGUGCAAUCCCCCGCGGCCGGGCCAGCGUCGGUUUCGACGGCCGGUCAAAGGCCCCCGGAAUGUGUCGCCUCUCGGGGCGUCUUAUAGCCGGGGGUGCAAUGCGGCCAGUCGGGACCGAGGAACGCGCUCCGGCACGGACGCUGGCUU
rnacentral:rRNA from 1 species